CGCUUACAUAACGCAAUUAACCAUUGGCAAGGUGACGAAUUGCUUUAUCUGAGCUAUAAAAUUCAGUUUCAGAAUGCGUUUUCAGUGCGCUGUAUUGUGUAUUUUAUUGCUUUACUUUGAACAAGUGAACACAAAAACGACUAAAAUAAAUUUGGCUGAAGAGGAUAUGCUCCUAUUCUGGAGACGAUCAAACGCGCCGAAAUGUAAGCCGUUCACAGUGUUCAAGGUCAAUUGUAACCACUGCGUGUGCGCCGCGGACGGCACGACGUCCUGCACCAGAAUGGACUGCAGGCCUCAUGGUA